UACGAAGGGGGCUAGCGUUGCUCGGAAUCACUGGGCGUAAAGGGCGCGUAGGCGGCCAUUCAAGUCAGAGGUGAAAGCCCAAGGCUCAACCUUGGAACUGCCUUUGAUACUGUUUGGCUUGAGACCGGUAGAGGUAAGUGGAACUGCGAGUGUAGAGGUGAAAUUCGUAGAUAUUCGCAAGAACACCAGUGGCGAAGGCGGCUUACUGGACCGGUUCUGGACGCUGAGGCGCGAAAGCGUGGGGAGCAAACAGG
rnacentral:rRNA from 1 species